UCUGUUUUCAUCAUUUACAAACAAUGUAGUCGUACAAAACAUUUACAUUGGCAGCAGGGGACAACUGGAGGACAAAAUUGAGGUAAUAAAAAAGAAAAAGUCACAUUUUCUUUGAUGAAUAAAUAUAUAUACACAACAGGAGACAGCAGAAGCAAAAGCAGUUUUUUUCUAACACUCAUGCCUGAAUUUACAAAGCUCGUCUCCAGCCUCAACAGGCUUUUGAUGUAAACACUUGAUGUUAAAGGGACGAAGUGAAAGUUGAUGAUAAUGAAAAAACACAGUUGGUCGGGUUGUUUGGGCUGGUUGAGGUCACAGUUACUAUUCUCAAAGCAGCUUCUUGGUUUGAUUUUUGAAUUUUAAAAUUGGGAGAAUGAGAAACGAAGAUUCAUGACAAAACCUGGAUGGAUUAAUAUUAAUGUUAAUUACCAUCGUUAAUUAAAAAAUCUGUUAUCAACAGCAUUAUGACACGUUUGGUUUAAACAUAAGUGUGAUGGCAUAUUAGGGUCAUUGCAAAUAGAAAAAGAAAGUAAGCCCCCCCCCACCCAAAAAAAUAAAAAAUAAA